UUUCAACUUGGCAGAUAAAUGCGUUAAAUUUAGAAUUUAUUUAUGAUUAUUCAGUUGAAAG
rnacentral:tRNA from 1 species